AGUGAACGCUGGCGGUAGGCCUAACACAUGCCAGUCGAACGGCAGCACAGUAAGAGCUUGCUCUUACGGGUGGCGAGUGGCGGACGGGUGAGGAAUACAUCGGAAUCUACUUUUUCGUGGGGGAUAACGUAGGGAAACUUACGCUAAUACCGCAUACGACCUACGGGUGAAAGCAGGGGAUCUUCGGACCUUGCGCGAUUGAAUGAGCCGAUGUCGGAUUAGCUAGUUGGCGGGGUAAAGGCCCACCAAGGCGACGAUCCGUAGCUGGUCUGAGAGGAUGAUCAGCCGCACUGGAACGGGGACACGGUCCAGACUCCUACGGGAGGCAGCAGUGGGGAAUAUUGGACAAUGGGCGCAAGCCUGAUCCAGCCAUACCGCGUGGGUGAAGAAGGCCUUCGGGUUGUAAAGCCCUUUUGUUGGGAAAGAAAAGCAGCAGGUUAAUACCCCGCUGUUCUGACGGUACCCAAAGAAUAAGCACCGGCUAACUUCGUG
rnacentral:rRNA from 1 species